rnacentral:rRNA from 1 species
UACGUAGGGUGCGAGCGUUGUCCGGAAUUAUUGGGCGUAAAGAGCUCGUAGGCGGUGUGUCACGUCGGCCGUGAAAACCUGGGGCUUAACUCUGGGCGUGCGGUCGAUACGGGCAUCACUAGAGUUCGGCAGGGGAGACUUGAAUUCCUGGUGUAGCGGUGAAAUGCGCAGAUAUCAGGAGGAACACCGGUGGCGAAGGCGGGUCUCUGGGCCGAUACUGACGCUGAGGAGCGAAAGCAUGGGUAGCGAACAGG